AUGGUUUGGGUGGAUGAAUGGUUGGCAAAGGACCCUCUUCCAGGUGGGAACGGCUGUUCUUAUAAUGAUCAUCAUUUUCUUAUUUUUAACCUGUUGCAUACUCCCUUGCAUGCAGAAGUACUUGCAGAAAGCGGUAGAUAAGACUGUAGAUGACGUGACCCCUACUUUCCUACAUCAAGAUAUCACAGACCUCGAAGACGACACUCCACAUACACCCCUUCAAUCACAUCAGUUCAAACAGACAACUGCUUUCCUGUAGGGACAGUGUAGGGAAAGCGUCUGUCUUAACAGGCGAGUCUCACGUGUGGAGAUGUAGUGGACUAGCCACUGCGGGUUACCCGCGGAGUGAAG